rnacentral:rRNA from 1 species
UACGUAGGGUGCAAGCGUUUGUCCGGAAUUAUUGGGCGUAAAGAGCUCGUAGGCGGUUUGUCGCGUCUGCUGUGAAAACCGGAGGCUCAACCUCCGGCCUGCAGUGGGUACGGGCAGACUAGAGUGCGGUAGGGGGAGAUUGGAAUUCCUGGUGUAGCGGUGGAAUGCGCAGAUAUCAGGAGGAACACCGAUGGCGAAGGCAGAUCUCUGGGCCGUAACUGACGCUGAGGAGCGAAAGCAUGGGGAGCGAACAGG